CUUUUUGACAAGACUAUGGCCUCGACACAUAUAUUUUGGUGUCCGUAGUACCUAGCGUAGUGUGUGAAGCAUAUAGUAUUAUGAAGUGUUAAGUUGAAUAGAUUCUUCCUGUGUCUGGUCUUUGAUUUCCAUUUCAUGUGAGGUGCUGCUAAAACUGAUGUUUGUUAGUCACUGAGUCUCUGUUGAUCUAAAUUCAGCUGUUUCUUUAAGCAUUCUGUAGUCCGGCCCUACUCCCACGUAUCCAACCUAGUCUACCCUAGAAUCCACUAACGCUUUAUUAUGUUACAUUCUUUUAGUUCUCUAGCUUGUCGUCUCUCCCUCCUCUCCCCUAAGGAUGAAACAAAACAGGCAUGUAUAGAUUCAAGUUUGGAUGUCUUGUAUAGCUUUCAGUUUCGGUAAGUCCUUCAAGGGCCGACUUAUGUCUCUCCUUUUCUAUUAAAAACCUUUACCAAAGUCUUGGUCAGAAUUCUGGUUCUUAUGGACGUCUGUCAUUAUUAUAUACCAAAUCUUUUAUGG
rnacentral:lncRNA from 1 species